AAAAAAAACCCAAACAGAAGUGUCCUCGGUAUGUCCCCUGUCCCGAGGAGUCCACGAUCCGAGGGACCGCGGUGUCCUGGAACGACCCUGCGGCGUGAGAGAGAGUCAGGGCCGGUCAGGUCGAACAGCGAGCCGGGUGUGUAUGGUAUCACUGUAAGUGUGCAGUAUAUCAGCGCGACUCUUCAACCGCCCGGACUUUGUCAAAGGAAUGAGGACAGAAAGAUCGAAAUAAAGUAAACACUCGCCAAAAAUACGAGAAAAGUGUUUUCUCAUCUCAACACCUUUUCCUGAAAAUGCAAUAAAAAUGCACUUAUUUAACUAA